rnacentral:lncRNA from 1 species
UCGGGUAGGUUGGAACCCUGGACAACCGUUUCGGUAUACUCGAGUAUUACCACUGGAGGGAUAAGGUGAUGGCCAGUCAAACCGAGGGGAUCCGGAAGUCAUAAGGUGCAGAUGACCGACAGAGUUCCACUGGAACACCGUAUCCUACCGUAUAUGUUUACCUUGUAUCAUGAUAAUUGUUUCAUGCUAAAAUGUCAACAUGAAAUCCUGAACUAUGCCUGUGAUAUGCUCCAUACCUGUUACCUGACCAAUGUACUCAUAAUGAUACUUGUAUCAUGAUAAAUGUCUCAUACCAUGAUAAAUGUCUCAAAUUACUCGUACAAUGAUUAUCACCUCAUGAUAACACGCCAUUGUGCAACUUGAACCAUGCAUAUGAUACCCAACUUACUUGAUUUAUUUGAACUGUUAGAGUGUCUUGGAACCUCACUGGGCUGUGUAGCUCAUCCCACGUUGUGGUUUUCUUUUACAGGGUUCGAGACCAAGGGUGCUCGUGAGUAGUACUAGAUUGUUUUCUUUUGAAAACUUUAAGUUAUAUUAUAACGAUGGCUAUUGUACCCUUUUCCGUUGGGUUGUAUUUAAGCUUUGGAAGCUGCAUAAUUGUAAGUGUGAGAUAUUUGGAGUACUUUAAUUAUGUAUUGAAGUUACUUAAAGUAUUUCGAGCUUUUGAAUGAUGGAUUGUAGUGAGUCCUGGCGAGAGCUGGGCAGGCGUCCCGCGGAUACCCUUUGGUUCGCCUUAGGGAGAAGUGGGGGCGUUACAAUUGGUAUCAGAGCUUAGGCUUCAAAUUUUGUAGUGUAUCCUAGGCUUAAAUGUUUAGGAUGCCGGACUGUGGGACUAUUCUGAAGGUUAAAUGAUUGCUUGUAGCGAUGAAUUUUAGAGUCACUUCACGUGGUCUCUACAAAGAAACAAGAUAGGGUCAAGUGGUGUUAUGGUCCUUACUAUGUGAUUGAGUAAAGGCUUAAGUGCCCUCCUAGAAACGUAAGUUGUGAAUCAUGAAUGUGGUUGUAAAACCUUUAUCUUGAUAAUUGGAGGGAAUGAUAUGUAUAUUGGGUAGGAAUCUCGAAUGUGGUGAAUUACUCUUGGGACCGGCCGGCUCGAGAUGUGAAUUAUCCUAUUUUGGAUUCUUUGAACCCGAGUACUUGGGAGUGGAAAACAACCAUAGGAACUUUAUAUCUCCAUUUGUGGGAAAUAGGAAUGAAUUGAUCUUUCAUGUGAGAAUGGUUACAGGAAACCAAUAAUUGUUUGGUUAAGAUGGUACAAUAAUUAAGAGUGGAAGAUGGAAAAUAUCGUAACCCAAAAGAUCUUUGUGUUGGGAUUGAAAUCGAGCAUGUUAGGAAACGAGAAUCGUCUAGUUCCAAUUAAUCUAGUAGAUUCCUACUUGUGAUCUUUCAUAGUGAGACGAUGGGAGUAGAACUUAAGAGUUUGCGCCCUGGAGAUGAAUGUACUUGUGAUAAUCACUUGUUUAUUUUUGUUAUUGACUUUGAUUUGGCAUGAACUUUACUUGACCAUAAUUUGUGUUAUGAUUUAAUGAACUCUAAUUUGUGUUUACUUGCAUAGUGAUAAUGUUAUUUGUGUAAGUGAUUUCAUCCUCUUUAAAUGUUGCUACUGGUAUAUGAGUAUAGUUCAAUUUUAGCUAAGUGUGAGGUUUUACAUAUGUGUAUAGACUAGCUAUGAACAUGGAAACUAGAGGACAACGAAAGGGACGUCAACCUAGACAACCCGAAAUGAAAGAGUAGCUAAUGGGUCCGAUAUUGAUCAAAACGUUGAGCCAAGUGCUGGGAGAGGAAAUGACCAAAUGGACAAGUUUUAACUCGCAUGACGGAUAUACUAGAGCUCUUGGUAGCUCAACAAGGUCAAGGUGUUGGACAAGGAAACCAACGUGGAAACCAAGAGAUAGGGGAGGAUCGAGCUUUAGAGCGGUUUCAGAAAUUCUCUCCGCCCAAGUUUGCUGGAGGACCUGAUCCAGAGGUGGCUGAAAAUUGGUUAGAGAAUAUAAGAAAUAUAUUCGAUGCCUUGGAUUACACAGAGGAGAGACAAGUCACCUUUGCUGUAUUUCAACUUGAAGGAGCAGCCCGAGCAUGGUGGAAUGUUAUAAGAAAUAAGUGGGAAAGAGAUCACACUCCGAGAACUUGGAUAAACUUUGUGCGUGAAUUCAAUGAGAAAUUUCUUCCUCCACUUGUCCAAGAAAAGAGAGAAGAUGAUUUUAUAAAUCUUCGUCAAGGAAUUUUGAGUGUAGCUGAGUAUGAAACACGCUUUACGAAGUUAUCUACAUAUGCCCCAGAAUUGGUGGCUACUGAACGGAAGAGAAUAAGACGGUUUAUCCAAGGAUUAGAUUUGGAAAUCCAAGAUGCCCUUGCGGCAGCCCAGGUUGAAACAUUUAGUGACGCUCUCGAAAAAGCGCAAAGGGUAGAAAGCACAAAAUCUCAACUGAGAGCUUUUCAAGCAAGGAAAAGAGAUACAUCUGACAGUACACUAGGAGAAAAUGGACCACCACCCAAAGUUAGAAAGGAAGUAGAUGGAGUAGGACUGUUACUUCCUGCACCACUCAUGAUAAAGGAACCAAAAGGAACUAUAUCGCCAGGAACUUCAGUAGGACAAACACGAUCAAAGAAAACCUCGCAAGCAAGUCAGGUCACAACACCUCGUCCGACUUGUGGAUAUUGUGGAAGGACGAAUCACAGUGAAGAAAACUGUUGGCUAAAGGGACGAAUGUGUAUGGGAUGUGGGAGUACCAAUCAUAAAGUUCAUGACUGUCCAAGGAGGUAUCCACGAGAAACUACUGCUCAACAAGGAAAUGGAACUGUCCCUCGACAAGUCAAUGGAAGGAGAAACCGACCAGUGACAUCUGAAAGAACGCAUGACAUGAACACACCACACGGUUCAGAGUUGUCUGAGAUUACAGAAGGUAUGAAUUUCGAGGACGAAAUUCUUUUAAGGAGGGAGGUUGUGAGGACUCGCAAAAUUUACUUAUUUAAUCUCUUAUUUCUCGCUUAUUUAAUUAUUUAUUUGGUCUUUUACUCCGAAUAUUAUUUUCUAAACUCUUGAGACCUAAUUACAUGGAAAUAUAGUUUCAUUAUAUUUUUAAAAUGACUUGUUUCAAAAAUUAAUUUCCGGAAGCUCGAUUAGUGAAAAUAGUGAACACGUUUUUGGAAAUCUUGACUGAUUGAGAGUACAAUAGAUUUGAAAUAUUGGAGACAUGUACAAUGGAUCUAAAUUAGGUAUUUUAAUGAAUAAAUACUCAAUUGAUAGUUAGUAGUACAAUCGUUAUAAGAAAUUCUCGGAAGUUUCGCGUUAUAGCGUUAAAAUUGACGGUACACGUUUCAUACGUGCGACUUUAUUUGAGGGACUUAAGACCCUUAUUUCGGGACAAUUAAGAGUGAAUAAUAUUUACAUGAAAAUAAGUGCAUUAGAUGUUUAGUGCACUAGUGAAACAAAUGCGAGAGAAAUCGAGCCGAAUCGCGCCCAAACGCACCCUAGUGAGAGUUGACUUUGGGGAUGAUUUUGCACCAUACAUUGUGUCUUCCUUAAGAAGCUAAAUUUGGACCAAACACUCUCUCUCUUAGUCUCUCUCUUGGCCGAAUUCUCAGCAGCAAAACACAACACAAAGUUGUCAUUUUCAUCUUCAAUUCUUGCACAAAACCUUCAUAGAUUCACACCAAAUUUGAACUACACUUAGCUUGUUGCUUGGAGAGUUCAUCUAGCUAGCAAAAGGAGGAGAUUUUCACGGUUUCUUGGAGCAUCUUGAGGACCGAAAUUUCUGGUUUAAAGCAACAAGGAGGUAUAACCUCAUCCUACACCUUAAGCUUGGUUUUUGAUGGUAGAAAUGCAUCCUUAAGCUAUUGCAUGUGUAUGGGUAUCUUGAUAUUGUUGGAAAAAUUGAAAAGUGGGCUCUAUGGAUUCCCACACUUGGGUUGUUGCUGAUUUGAUGAUUGAUGGUGGUUAUAUUGUUGGUUUAGUGGUUAAAAUGAUGGAUUAGUGGUGGGUAAUUGAUAGAAACUUCAUUGGGUGCAAGAAGCAAAAACUUCCGAAAAUACCCCUGGCUUGUUCGGCCAUUUUAAGGCCAGUUUUUAAUGAACUAAUGGCUUGAAUUGGAUGCUUAUAUGAUGUAUUAGAGGUGUGAAAAAUUUCAUUUAAAAAUAAUGAGGUUUGAAUGGGCAAAUGAAUUUUUGUUCGAAACCAGCAAAUCUGGAAAACUGAUUCGCGUAUGCUCUGACCAGCAGUAGUAUUUUGGCUAUAACUCUGUCCUCGGAUGUCGAAAUCAUGUGCCGUCAGUGGCGUUUGAAACUAGACAUUCCUAGCUUUAAUUUGGUAUAUAAUGCACGUUCUGAUUCUUUGUGGGUAAGCCGAACCAAAUGUUUUAAGUUCACUGUCCUGUUACUCUGUUCUUCUGGAAUGAAGUGUUCAGGCAGCAACUUGAUGCCCGAAUUUGAACCAGAUGGGUGCCGAAUUUGGAAACGAUUUCUUCUGUGAUAUUUUAACCCUAUGAAUGUAUUUUCCAACGGCGUAAGCCAUGCUCGAUUUCGAGCUAUAUUGACUGAUUUGUGACUGAAACAAGUGGACUGCUCUGUUUUGGAAAACCCUAAUGUUUGAACUAGUUUGGAACCAAAUCUUGGAGUGAGCUUGUUAGUUGAUGUUUUUGAUAUUAAACACUUACCAAAGAUAUUAUGGGUGUAUCUUAGACCCUUAUUUCACAAAUGAACCAUGGUUGGAUAACUUUCUUGGUUAGACGAUUGGAAAUUUGGAAAAUGAAAGUCAAAGGCAGAUUGCCUUAGGAUUUUUCUUGAACUUUGGUUGGCUAAUUAACGACCUUGCCGAAGGUAUUUUUCCCCGAAAUUCGAUAGAGAGAUACCUUCCAUAUAGUAUUGAAAUACUGCCAAUUUUGGUGCCGAUUCAAGUUCGUUUCGAUACCCAAUUGAAUUACUAAAGUUAGAGGUUCAAAUCUGGAAAAUUCUCAUCCAGUCUUGAAUUUGCUCAACUUCGGGCUACCGUAUCUCGGUGCUCGAAACUCCGAUUCUUGAUCCGCUUGUUUUGUUAUAAACUUCACUUGCAACACUAAUUGAGCUGCAAAAUUCAGAGGCCGGUUUGCAACGUGUGAAUCGUGCCGAAUUUCCAAAGUUGGCCGAAAUCCAACUUCAUUCUGCCUUGUGAACCAACCCUGCACCUUCAAGCUCAUUUUUGACCACUUUUCACUUCGAUUCAUGGAAAAGUGUCUUCUAGGAAUUUAUAGUACUUUCUAAGAGGUUUCCAACGGUAUAAAGUUUUCCAAUUCUCGACUUGUGCCAAGUGAGUUACGAUUUUUCAAAGAUUUAGGAUAAAACUGGAAUUUCCCAAUUUUCAAGGCAAAGGAGUUUUUCUAAAAUCCCUAAUUUUCUCAGCUUUAUUCAAACGUUUUGCCUCGAUUCUCAUGAUAAAAACUCAAUUAAUAUUGUACUUAAUAAAACGCAACCUGAACCUCGAUUUACGAGUAAUUGAGGUUCAUUCUCAUAAGAUUUCCUUAGAUUGUACUAGCGUACAAUCUUUCUCGAUAAUUAGAGAUUUGUAGUGAUAUUGAGUGGUAGUUGAUUGUUGUUGCUCAGGCACUCGAAGGGACAUUCAAGAGGAUCUCGGAGCGGACACCUAAAACGCUUGUUUGAGAACUACUCGCUCGUUUUGUCUAGGUGAGUGUUCCAUAUAGGAAUACGUAGUUGAAUAAGUCUAGGCCAUACUUAUUUCAUGAUUAUUAAGUGUUAAGUACUAUGUGUUAAGUAUUUACCAUACUCAUGCCUAUUUAAGGAAUGUAUACUUGCAUUGCAUAUCUACAUGAAUUGUUUAAGUCAUUAACCAUAUCAAAUGACCAUAUGAACUCGAUACAUGCUUAACUUGCUAUAUUGCUUGCUUAGCCUACUCGAUUUUGAAAAAUGGAGUCGAGUGCAUACUUUAUCGCACUCGUUCUCUUUUGAGAUGAAUAAUUCAUGCUCGGAAAUGCUCGAAUAAUCUGACUUGGUAUGCUAUAGUUGCAUACGUCGUUGGAGUGAAUCUCCUCGACUCUCACAUGGUAAAAAUGGGAUAACGGCCAAUGAUGGCCUAUUCAUAUGACAAAUAUCUGUCGAUUAACCGUCACUACUUAACCGUGAACCGUGAACCGUGAACCGUGAACCGUUUACCAACCCACAUGACUACUUGAUUACUUGACUAUCUGCUCACAUGAUUGCCAAUCUAUAUGGCUAUUCGAUAUCCGUGAAUUACAUGCUUCCAUGAAAUCAACUUGUAUUGCUUACGUGCUUACGUGCUAAGUAUCCACUUGAUUACUUGAUUGUCAUGAAUCACAUGUUAUAUGAAACUGUCCAUCAUUAUUAGGCGAGUGUGUACUUUACCUCACUCGACCUAUUCAAAUGAUGAAUUUUACCUUUGGUCGAAUUACUUGGUUACCUGUGCAUGUUGUAAGCUCUAAGCUGAACUUGGGCCCCGCCUCGGUUACUGACCUACUCGAGCCAGGACUGGGCUCGGUCGGGUAGGUUGGAACCCUGGACAACCGUUUCGGUAUACUCGAGUAUUACCACUGGAGGGAUAAGGUGAUGGCCAGUCAAACCGAGGGGAUCCGGAAGUCAUAAGGUGCAGAUGACCGACAGAGUUCCACUGGAACACCGUAUCCUACCGUAUAUGUUUACCUUGUAUCAUGAUAAUUGUUUCAUGCUAAAAUGCCAACAUGAAAUCCUGAGCUAUGCCUGUGAUAUGCUCCAUACCUGUUACCUGACCAAUGUACUCAUACCAUGAUACUUGUAUCAUGAUAAAUGUCUCAUACCAUGAUAAAUGUCUCAAAUUACUCGUACAAUGAUUAUCACCUCAUGAUAACAUGCCAUUGUGCAACCUUGAACCAUGCAUAUG